rnacentral:rRNA from 1 species
UACCUACGGGACGCAGCAGUAGGGAAUCUUCGGCAAUGGGCGAAAGCCUGACCGAGCAACGCCGCGUGAAUGAAGAAGGCCUUCGGGUUGUAAAAUUCUGUUAUAAGGGAAGAAAGGUGAUAGGAGGAACUGACUAUCAAUUGACGGUACCUUAUGAGAAAGCCACGGCUAACUACGUGCCAGCAGCCGCGGUAAUACGUAGGUGGCAAGCGUUAUCCGGAAUUAUUGGGCGUAAAGAGCGCGCAGGUGGUUAAUUAAGUCUGAUGUGAAAGCCCUCGGCUUAACCGGGGAGGUUCAUUGGACAG